rnacentral:sRNA from 1 species
GUUUGAUUUGGUGUUGUCCAUGGAGAGUGGAGAACAUAUGCUUGCCAAAACUAAGUGUAGGCAUUAAGUUCACCUAAAUCACUAGGUCCGACCUGUCAAGCUCUUCUGAUCGUCGACCUGGCGACUCUCCUGACGGUUGACCUACUGAGCUCCUUUGAAGGUCGGGCUGCCAAGCUCCUUUUUACGAGUGGGUUGUCGAGUUGUGUAUAAAGGUCGGGCUACCAAGCUGUUUUUCAAAGAGGUCGGCCUUCCUUCCAGAACACCUCCUUACAUGUUUUGCACAUUUUGCACAUGGAAUAAAGCCUUCUAUAUAGUUGGUAUGCCACUUGUCAUCUGAUUCACGAAUCAAUGCAAGAUAUUAAAGUAUUGUGUUAGCGUAAUA